rnacentral:rRNA from 1 species
GACGAACGCUGGCGGCGUGCCUAAUACAUGCAAGUCGAGCGAACCAAUAGGAGCUUGCUCCUGUUGGUUAGCGGCGGACGGGUGAGUAACGCGUGAGCAACCUGCCUGUAAGACCGGGAUAACACCGGGAAACCGGUGCUAAUACCGGAUAAUCCUUUUCCUCUCAUGAGGAAAAACUGAAAGUCGGUUUCGGCUGACACUUACAGAUGGGCCCGCGGCGCAUUAGCUAGUUGGUGAGGUAACGGCUCACCAAGGCGACGAUGCGUAGCCGACCUGAGAGGGUGAUCGGCCACACUGGGACUGAGACACGGCCCAGACUCCUACGGGAGGCAGCAGUAGGGAAUCUUCCACAAUGGACGAAAGUCUGAUGGAGCAACGCCGCGUGAGCGAUGAAGGCCUUCGGGUCGUAAAGCUCUGUUGUUAGGGAAGAACAAGUACCGGAGUAACUGCCGGUGCCUUGACGGUACCUAACCAGAAAGCCACGGCUAACUACGUGCCAGCAGCCGCGGUAA